UACAGAGGGGGCAAGCGUUGUUCGGAAUUACUGGGCGUAAAGGGCGCGUAGGCGGCCUGUUAAGUCGAACGUGAAAUCCCCGGGCUCAACCCGGGAACUGCGUCCGAUACUGGCAGGCUUGAAUCCGGGAGAGGGAUGUGGAAUUCCAGGUGUAGCGGUGAAAUGCGUAGAUAUCGGGAGGAACACCAGUGGCGAAGGCGGCUACCUGGCCCACUCUUGACGCUGAGGCGCGAAAGCUAGGGGAGCAAACGGG
rnacentral:rRNA from 1 species